rnacentral:piRNA from 1 species
UACAGAGCAUAUCAAUUUAUU